rnacentral:lncRNA from 1 species
UGAAAAAAAGAAUCAUUGUAUCCAAGUCGUCCACAAAAAAAUAAAAAAAAGUGUCAAACGAUCGUAUUUAAAACUAGCAUAGGAAAAAACCCCAGUCGAAAACAUAACUUUCUUCUUCUUUUUUAGCGAUUUUCGAACAUCCACUCGUAUUCUUAUGCACAAAUAAGAACAUAACCCCUUUCCCAAAUUUGUACCAUCAAACUCCAAAAAAAUCCCAAGAAAACCCCCAAUUUGACGUGUUAAAAUCUCAUUGUAA